UACAGAGGUCUCAAGCGUUGUUCGGAUUCAUUGGGCGUAAAGGGUGCGUAGGUGGCGCUGUAAGUCGGGUGUGAAAUUUCGGAGCUUAACUCCGAAACUGCAUUCGAUACUGCGGUGCUUGAGGACUGGAGAGGAGACUGGAAUUCAUGGUGUAGCAGUGAAAUGCGUAGAUAUCUGGAGGAACACCGGUGGCGAAAGCGCGAGACUGGGCCGUAACUGACGCUGAGGAACGAAAGCCAGGGGAGCGAAAGGG
rnacentral:rRNA from 1 species